GCGCCCAUGAUGUAACGGCAGCCUGCUGCCUCGCCAUGGCAGAUGUGGGGGUUCGAUUCCCUCUGGGCGCU
rnacentral:tRNA from 1 species